GGGCUAGCUACAGGCUUAACACAUGCAAGUCGAGGGGUUGCAUGGUCUUAGCUUGCUAAGGCCGAUGGCGACCGGCGCACGGGUGAGUAACACGUAUCCAACCUGCCGUCUACUCUUGGACAGCCUUCUGAAAGGAAGAUUAAUACAAGAUGGCAUCGUGAGUCCGCAUGUUCACAUGAUUAAAGGUAUUCCGGUAGACGAUGGGGAUGCGUUCCAUUAGAUAGUAGGCGGGGUAACGGCCCACCUAGUCUUCGAUGGAUAGGGGUUCUGAGAGGAAGGUCCCCCACAUUGGAACUGAGACACGGUCCAAACUCCUACGGGAGGCAGCAGUGAGGAAUAUUGGUCAAUGGGCGAGAGCCUGAACCAGCCAAGUAGCGUGAAGGAUGACUGCCCUAUGGGUUGUAAACUUCUUUUAUAAAGGAAUAAAGUCGGGUAUGCAUACCCGUUUGCAUGUACUUUAUGAAUAAGGAUCGGCUAACUCCGUGCCAGCAGCCGCGGUAAUACGGAGGAUCCGAGCGUUAUCCGGAUUUAUUGGGUUUAAAGGGAGCGUAGAUGGAUGUUUAAGUCAGUUGUGAAAGUUUGCGGCUCAACCGUAAAAUUGCAGUUGAUACUGGAUAUCUUGAGUGCAGUUGAGGCAGGCGGAAUUCGUGGUGUAGCGGUGAAAUGCUUAGAUAUCACGAAGAACUCCGAUUGCGAAGGCAGCCUGCUAAGCUGCAACUGACAUUGAGGCUCGAAAGUGUGGGUAUCAAACAGGAUUAGAUACCCUGGUAGUCCACACGGUAAACGAUGAAUACUCGCUGUUUGCGAUAUACGGCAAGCGGCCAAGCGAAAGCGUUAAGUAUUCCACC
rnacentral:rRNA from 1 species